rnacentral:rRNA from 1 species
UAAACUAGGAUUAGAUACCCUAUUAUUAGAAAUGUAAAUAUGAGUAUACUAGAGUAGUAGUAGUUGUGUUCUUGAAAUUCAAAAGAUUUGGCGGUAUUUUAGUCUUUUUAGAGGAACCUGUUCUGUAAUUGAUACUCCACGAUUAAUUAAACUUAUUUUAGAGAUUUGUAUAUCGUCGUAGUUUGAAUAUUUUUAAAGAUUUAGUAAUAUUCAGAAUUUAUUAUAAUAAUAGAAAUCAGAUCAAGGUGCAGUGUAUAGAUAAGAAGAAAUGGGUUACAAUAAAUUUAUUUAUAUAGUUAAAUUAAUUAAAAUUAAUUUAUAAAGUGGAUUUAAAUGUAAUAUAGUUGAUUUAAAUUAUAUGAUUUUAGCUCUAAAAUAUGUACAUAUCGCCCGUCGCUCCUCCUUUAAAGGAGGAUAAGUCGUAACAUAGUAGGUGUACUGGAAAGUGUACCUAGAUUGGCAAAUUAGAGCUUGUAAAGUAUUUUAUUUACAUUAAAAUGAUUAAUUGUGAAGAUCAAUUUAAUUUGAUUAGAAGUAAUUUAUAAGAAUUUAAUUUAAAAAAAUCAUUUUUUAUAUUAAGUAAUAAUUUUGAAUAAUAUAAUUAAAUUAUAGUGUAUUUGUAAAGUGAUUGGGUAUUGAAAUAUAAUUAUAUGUAUAAAGAAAAAAAAGUAUUAGGGUUAUGUACCUUGUGUAUCAGGGUUUAUUUAAAAUAAUUUAUUUAUUUAAUAUUCUCGAAUUUUUAAGAGUUAAUAGUAUAGUUAUUUAAUUGUAUUAUAAAUUUUUAUAAUUUAUUAUUAGAAAUGAAAUGUUAGUCGUUUAAAGUUAUAUCUAGUUUUUUAAGAAAUAAAUUUAAUUUAUUUAUUUGAAUGUAUAAUAUUAAUUUUAUAAUUUUAUAGUUUAAAUAUAAAAUAUUAUAGGGGAUAAGCUUUAUAAUAUAAUAUUAAAAAUUAUAUUUGUAUAAAAAAUAUAUAGGAUUAGAAUUUUUUAUUUUUAGUAUGUUAUAAUUAAUUUUUAUUAAAAUAUAGUUUAUAUAAUUUUUAGGUUUUUUAUUAAAAUUAUUUAUUUAAUAUAUAUAUAUUGGUGAUAAUGAUAAAAUUAGUAUAAUUAAUUUUAAAUUAAUUAAUUAAUAUUUAGGUUGAAUUAAGGAAUUCGGCAUAUAUAUAUUUCGCCUGUUUAUUAAAAACAUGUCUUUUUGAUUAUAAUUUAAAGUCUAACCUGCCCACUGAGUGAUUAAAUGGCCGCGGUAUUUUGACCGUGCAAAGGUAGCAUAAUAAUUAGUUUUUUAAUUGGAAGCUAGUAUGAAUGGUUGGACGAGAAAAUAACUGUCUUCAAUUUAAUUUAAUUAGAAUUUUAUUUUUAAGUUAAAAAGCUUAGUUGUUAUUAAAAGACGAGAAGACCCUAUAGAGUUUUAUAUUAAUUGUUAUUAUUGUUUUAAAGUAUUAUUUUAUAAUGAUAAUAUUUAUAUAUUUUAUUGGGGUGAUAGAAAAAUUUAAUUAACUUUUUUUAUUUUGUUAUCAUUAAUAUAUGUUUAUAUGAUCCAUAAUUUAUGAUUAAAAGAUUAAAUUACCUUAGGGAUAACAGCGUAAUUAUUUUUUAGAGUUCUUAUCGAAAAAAUAGUUUGCGACCUCGAUGUUGGAUUAAAAUAAACUUUUGGUGUAGGAGCUAAAAUGUUGGGUCUGUUCGACCUUUAAAAUUUUACAUGAUCUGAGUU